rnacentral:rRNA from 1 species
CUAACACACGCAGUACCUCAGGCUGCCACGCCACACACCCUAGGCCCAGACCCAGUCUGACUGAGCAACGGACCAAGUUACCCUAGGGAUAACAGCGCCAUCUUCCCCCCAGAGCCCAUAUCCACGGGGAGGCUUACGACCUCGAUGUUGGAUCAGGACCCCCCGGCGGUGCAGCCGCUGCCAAAGGUUCGUUUGUUCAACGACUAAUGUCCU